GGAGGAAAAGAAACCAACAGGGAUUGCCUCAGUAACGGCGAGUGAAGCGGCAAAAGCUCAAAUUUGAAAUCCCCCCGGGGAGUUGUAAUUUGAAGAUUGCGUCUUGGAGGCGACCGUGUCUAUGUUCCUUGGAACAGGACGUCACAGAGGGUGAGAAUCCCGUGCGGCACGGCCCCCGGCUCCUUAUAAGGCGCUCUCGACGAGUCGAGUUGUUUGGGAAUGCAGCUCAAAGUGGGUGGUAAAUUCCAUCUAAAGCUAAAUACAGGCGAGAGACCGAUAGCGAACAAGUACAGUGAUGGAAAGAUGAAAAGCACUUUGAAAAGAGAGUGAAACAGCACGUGAAAUUGUUGAAAGGGAAGGGCAUGCCGUCAGAUUGUCAGUGUGGGUAAGAAGCGGGGUACAAAGACUGUGGAACGUGGCCCUCGGGUGUUAUAGCCGCAGUUCAUGCCCCGUCUCUUUCCGAGGCCUGCUUUGAGGACACCGACGUAAUGACGGUACGCCGCCCGUCUUGAACCACCGGACCA
rnacentral:rRNA from 1 species